rnacentral:lncRNA from 1 species
GGAGUAGUUGGAUUUUCAACAGCAGGGAUCGACUGGAAUCCCCAUGUAAUAGGUGUGAAUCCUUCUGGUCGCCAUCUGAGCCUGGAGCUAAGGCUGUUCCACAGCCCUCUCUACACAGGUUCCGCCAGAGAGAGCUGGUCUCCCAGGAGUGCUGACAGGGCUUGCAGGCCCACAGGAGGGACAAGCUCCAGCCAGAGACAGAAAGACCAACACCAGAAAUAACCAGAUGGCAAAAGGCAAGCGCAAGAACCUUACCAACAGAAACCAAGGCUACUUGGCAUCAGACCCCAGUUCUCCCAUCACAGCAAGUCCUGGAUACCUCAACACACCGGAAAAGCAAGAUAUGGAUUUAAAAAUCACAUCUCAUUAUGCUGAUAGAGGAUUUUAAGAAGGACAUAAAUAACUCCCUUAAAGAAGUACAGGAGAACACAAGUAAACAAAUAGAAGCUUUAAAGAGGAAACAAAAAUCCCUUAAAGAAUUUCAGGAAAACACAACUGAACAGAUGAAGGAAUUAAACAAAACCAUCCAGGAUCUAAAAAUGGAAGUAGAAACAAAAAGAAAUCACAAAGGGAGACAUCUCCCCGGAUUUUAAUGGAACAGCUCUCUUAGACAAUCUUAGUUUAAUUUGCACUGGUUAGAGUCUACUGUCUGGUCUCCUUGGUUUCUCUAGUCCAGAGGAUGGGCAACCCACACGGAGAUACAAGACCAUUUGAAAGAUGCCUGAUUGAAAGAUUGGAUUGAGCUGCCGAUUCCUGUGAGCUGUACUGCUGAUGUCCUGACAAUGCAGAUUGGAUUUGCUCCAAAGAACUAUUUCUAAACAGGUUCUUCUUUGCCCUAUUAAUCUUUCCUUCCCACUACCUCUGGUGUGGUGGGCUAGAAGGGACAUUAAAACAUUUAAGAACAACAACCCUCGAACUGUGAGGCUGUCAGCUUCAGACAAGAGAGACUAUUUACUUAAAUGGCCAAUUUUUGUUUAAAAUGGCCACUCAAAUUAAAAGGAAAAGUGAGGAUCUGGAGAGAGGCUCAGCAGUUAAGAACACUGACUGAUCUUCCAGAGGACCAGAGAUCAAUUCUUAGCAGCCACAUGGCGGCUCACAACCAUCUGUAACGGGCUCCCAUACCGUCUUCUGGUGUGUCUGAAGAUAGCUACAUUGUACUCAUUUAUUAUAAAAUAAAUAAAUAAAUCUGCUCUUCCGAA